rnacentral:rRNA from 1 species
UCGAGAAUCUUCGGCAAUGGGCGCAAGCCUGACCGAGCGACGCCGCGUGCGGGAUGAAGGCCCUUGGGUUGUAAACCGCUGUCAGAGGGGAUGAAAUGCGGGUGGGUUCUCCCAUCCGUUUGACAUAGCCUCAGAGGAAGCACGGGCUAAGUUCGUGCCAGCAGCCGCGGUAAUACGAACUGUGCAAACGUUAUUCGGAAUCACUGGGCUUAAAGGGUGCGUAGGCGGCCAAAUAAGUAGGGUGUGAAAGCCUCCGGCUUAACCGGAGAAUGGCGCUCUAAACUGUUUGGCUGGAGUGAGAUAGGGGUGUGUGGAACUUCCGGUGGAGCGGUGAAAUGUGUUGAUAUCGGAAGGAACGCCGGUGGCGAAAGCGACACACUGGAUCUCAACUGACGCUGAGGCACGAAAGCCAGGGGAGCAAACG